AUGGGAACAAUUCUGCACAGAAGUUCUGCAGCCGUGAAACUGAUGUUAAAACCGGGAGAACAGAUCAGACCCCUGGAUGCCCAGCUGUCCCACCCCGUGGCCCCCCGCUGUGGCUACGUGUUGUCUGAAGACGCCUGGGGAAACCCUGUGUUCAGGGCCGCUGUACUGGCCUGUCAUGUGGUCAACCAGUGUGAACAUCAAAGUGUCUGGGUUCAUGGAACCUGGCGAAGAAACCACCUACAGCUAUACCGUGUCCUGUCCAUAUUUCACAUGGGCCUCGAGGGAGAUUCUCUGAAGAGAACUACAUGGAGGCUCAGGAACCACUUACAAGCUCUAGCAGUUGGUGUUCCAGCAUCCCACAGGGAGGAAGGUUAUGCUGGUGAUCCACGUGGCCGAUCUGGGCUAUGGCUUCAACAGCUCUGGGGUCUGCAUGUUCCUGCAUUAGCCCUACUCCAACAACGAGGCUGAAGUCACCUGGACUGUUCCUGUGAUAUCUUCUAGUACAUGAACAGGAAUGAAACCUACUAUGUCCUCCACGUGAACUAUAUACUGAGCGUGGGUGCAGAUGGGAAACCAUUCUCCUAUCCUGCAGAAAUGGAAUAUACUUUCGAGGAUGUUGGUAAGUACACCACGUAAGGUGCUGGUCCUGGACUCAUAGAUGGUCUUGGUGCCCAACAAAUUGCAUUGGCUCUGCCCAAACAACAGCUGUGGAAGCCCCUCCCAUGGGGGGGCUCCCACUGGGGCUACACAGAACUAACUCCUCACAAGUGGCUUGUCUGCACGCUGGGAUCGGAAGCCCAGUAUAGAAGCAGCUGUUGGAAGACACAUAAAGUAAUAACAGAGAAUGGGUGGCUGCUCAUACAAUCAGCAAUUAGACUUCACUUAAAUCAUGCCAGGAAUGACAUGAACAGGACUCAAGGUGCCCCAUACAGUCUUCCCUCCCAGGUGCCACCACCCCUGAAAUGUUAACCUUGGUAGACUUCUCAUGUCAAGGUCAUGGUAAGGGUAGCCAGUGGUAUCAAGACCUUGGUAUAUAUCAGACAUGGCCUUCUUCCCAGCAAGGUCAUUAGGUACCCAAUGUAGAGAUAGCAGGGAAAGGAUAUAAGAAGAACAGGGAGGUUCAGGUGAGUCAUCUUUUGCCUACGACUAGGCCUCUGCCUAUAGGUUUUACAUCUCCAGGAAGUAACAAAACAGGUGUAUUGUCUUCCUUCCUAUAGCUCUGCUAGGUGUCAUCCUCUUAAGGUCACUAGGAUUCUAGUGUUGAAGGCUUGCUGCCACACAGAUGGCACUGUUCUAUCCUCCAAGCACUUUCAGGGUGCCCUCUAGUGGGUCUGAAUCCUGGUUCCACUGCGAACUUUAGGCAAGGAGCUUAGCAUUAUCCAAUCCUCAUUUUCUCCAACUACUGGCCCCCUCUAAGGAGGCUGAAGAGUGAAAGCAUGUUGAACACCAAGAUGCUCUCCAAAGAUGGAGUCCUUCUCUUCUGAGCCCCACAGCUCUGCAAGAUGGGUAGAACUCAAGGUGGCAUUAGGCUCUGAGAGGAGCUCCAUCACACAGCUGGCAUGGUAUGGAGCUGGACCAGAGCCCAAGUCCCCUAUCUCCCCACUGUCUUAACCAAAAGCUUACACUUCAGAACACAAGGCUGACAGCACAGACCUCACACAGCUGUGACCCGAGAAACUGCCAUUGCUGAUCUAGUGCCAGAACUGCUUCCCCAUCCCUGGCUCUCCUACUGACUUCCCACGAGAUAAGCCUUUUGUUUAAAAAAGCGGCCUUCUCGGCCAUGCGCAGUGGCUCACAUUGUAACCUCAGCACUUUGGGAGGCUGAGGCAGGUGGAUUACUUGAGGCCAGGAGUUCGAGAUCAGCCUGGCCAACAUGGUGAAAACCCAUCUGUACUAAAAAUAAAAAAUAAAAAUAAAAGGCAGGGCGUGAUGGCACACACCUGUAAUCACAGCUACCCAGGAGGCACAAGAAUUGCUUGAACCCAAGUUGCAGAGGUUGCAGUGAGCCUGUUUGUACUCCUGUACUCCAGCCUGGGUGACACAGUGUCUCAAAAAAAAAAAAAAAAAAGACUUUGGCCGGACACGGUGGCUCACACCUGUACCAGCACUUUGGGAGGCUGAGCGGGGUAGAUCACCUGGGGUCAGGAGUUUGAAACCAACCUGGCCAAUAUGGUGAAACCCUGUCUCUAUUAAAAAUACAAAAAUUAGCCAGGAGUGGUGGCAUACAUCUGUAGUCCCAGCUACUCAGGAGGCUGAGGUGGGAGAGCCUCUUGAACCCUGGAGGUGGAAGUUGCAGUGAGCCGAGAUCACGCAAUUGCACUCCAGCCUGGGCAACAAGAAUGAAACUCCAUCUCAAAAAAAAAAAAGGAGGCUUCUUGGGCUGACCAAGGUGGUUCCUAUAGUCCCAGCACUUUGGGAGGCCUAGGCAGAAGGAUUCCUUGAGCCCGAAGGUUCAAGACCAGCUUGGGCAAGAUAGUGGGACCCUGUCUCUAUAAAAAAAAUUUUUAAAUUACCAUGGCAUGCUGGUACACGCCUGUAGUCCCAUCUACUCAUGAGGCUAAGGCAGGAGGAUCGCUUGAGCCCAGGAGAUGGAGGCUGCAGCGAGCUAUGAUUGUGCCACUGCACUCCAGCCUGGGCGAGAGUGAGACACUGAAUCAAAAAUAAAAGCCAUCUCACUUAAGGGCCUUCACACUAGGGCUCCAGUGGAAAAGUAAAAGGGCCAAAGGGGAGUGAUGAGAAAUGAAUACUUGGGAAAGAAUAGGCCUCCAACAAGAUUCUUCAGUCUUGGUAUGCCAAGGCUGGACAAUAAGGAGAAUCGGACCCCAACCUGAGUCCCAUUUACCCAUUCUGUACUUUUCACAGAACUUCCCCAGGUCAUUGGCACCUGUGACAGUGAGAACCUAUACUUGACCAUCCCAGUAACUGACCUGCUCUCCUGUUGGGAGCUCUACAUGGGACACCAGCUGCCAUGCAUUUAUCCCUCUUCAGACCUCACUGGUGAGAAGCCGGGCUUCUGGGUCCCCAUGAUGCUUUGUCCCACCUCCCAACCCUGCUGAUCCCAGUCUAGAACCACAGCACCGCCCCCAUCCUGCAUGAAGAAGGCCUUGUGCAUCUGCCUUGGUGAGAUCUUUCCGGGCUCACUGGUCUCUACCCUCUGGGGAGAUGAUCGAGACCAGCUCACACUGCUGUGUGUCAUAUCCAUACCUUCUAGGGGAAAACUAACCCCCCUCACCUCCUAUGUGAAGUCUUAGGCUUCAGAGCCCAUUUCAAAUGCUGUUUCUCCUAUAACCACAUAGCCUACCAACCAGAGGAUCUCCUUUCUGGUUCUUCCCUCUCCCGCAACUUUUUCCUUUUGAACUCUCGUAAUCAGAGCCAUAAUCAUAUUCUGCCUUCCACUAGUUACUUGUCCUUGACUGUUUCUUUAUUUUCCCUUCUGAGCUGACUUUCUUGAAGGCAGGGCCCCCAGCCUGAUCACCAUACCUCAUGUGGUAGUAUCCAGGUUUUGCCUUCUGCCCUUCAAAUAAUACAUAUAAAAAUGAACGAAGUUCAAUAUUUAUCCACAACCUAGUUGAUGGCCUAAGAAUACAUUUUAAAUGGGUAUGUCUGAGGUCACUUGUGACAAGCCCUGGGGUCAGGAGCCAAGUCCUACCUCAAGGAGCAGCAUAGAGGCCUAGUCCAGCCUAGUCCAAGGACUGCCAGAUAAAAUAGAGAACAGGCUUUGAUCAAAAUAUGGCUGGAAACAGGAUGGUUGUGAGAACUAUGGUUGUGUUCCUAGUGUGCUUCCCUAGUGGGACUGUGGCCAUCUCUACCAUGAUGGCCACAGACCUUCCAUUGACAUGUGCAAGGCCACACUGAAGGACCACACCUGUAAGCCAACAGAGUCUAGCAAGAACCAAGCUGCCUUCCAGUUUGACAUCACCAGCCGUGUUAUCUCAGUGAGGGUGAGUAAGGCAAAAGGGCCACCUGCUCCUGCCAGGCCUUAGUGUACCAUCUAAGCUUUUGCUUCUCAGUCCUGUGUUAUUGUUCCAUUUUCAAACUGCUGAUAAAGACACACCUGAGACUGGGCAAUUUACAAAAGAAAAAGGGUUAAUGGACCCACAGUUCCACGUGGCUACGGAGGCCUCAUGAUCAUGUCAGAAGGUGAAAGGCAUGUCUCAUAUGGCAGCAGAUGAGAAGAGAGAACUUGUGCAGGGUAACUCCCCUUUACAAAACCAUCAGAUCUCAUGAGACUUAUUCACUAUCACAAGAAUAGCACAGGAAAGACCUGCCCCCAUGAUUCAAUUACCUCCCACUGGGUUCCUUCUACAACAUGUGGGAAUUGUGGGAGCUACAAUUCAAGAUGAGAUUUGGGUGGAGACACAGCCAAACCAUAUCACCCGUGUUCUCCAUAUGCUCUAAAAUCCUGGGUUAUUUAGUUUGAAGGUGACUUUAUUAUAUAUGAAAAGGGAAUCAUGUAUGAGAAGGAAACCCUUGCUCUGAAGGGCUGGCCCACAAUUACGAGCUGUCCAGACUACAGGUGAGAUGGCCGCUGUAUGAAUGGAAGUCACCUGUGCCCCUGAACUUCAUCUCACUGUUGUCCCCACCCCCCUCCUCAGGAAAUUCCAGCUGACUAGGGAAGAGAAUCCCAAUGUAUAGUUUGCAGCAGGAACUCAAAACAUCAGUGACAGUGCCCCAAAAUGCUUCAGUUUCCAUGUUCUUUUUCAUUUUUGAUGUCCUAUUUUACUUCCUUACCUAAUACUUAUUAUAUUGGAGGUAUGAUGUAAAUUGGAGUACUAUUGACAGACCUUCUUCUUUGAUAGACUAAGCAAUGUUGCUAGAAACAAAUCAUCGCAUAACUAGAUCAUGAUCCACCAUGCACAUAGCCCACCAACCAAUGGAGAAGACCAGCAGAACAGAUAGUAGACUAUCUCUUCCAGCCUUAAGCCCCAAUGCUGUCAUUCUGAAGUUGAGACUUUGAAGUCUCUUUGUCCCCCUGGUCCAGAGUCUCUUUGCCUCAUCUUGUCCAUGAACUAGAGUUCCCUUGAGUCCUUUCUUGCUCUGCAGUUCUACAAACCAGUGAGCCUGAUCUUGCCUCCAUGCUUGUCCUAGGCUGAUGCUGCUCUGCUACUACUCAGUUAAAGAAACAUUGGCCCAAGAGGACAGGCACAAGGAUGGGUGGAGGAAGAAAGCUGUUGUGCCACCAGGAGAUGGCACGGUGGUAUGGCAGUCCCAGAUCCGAGGUCAAGGGGUGGCUGGGGAACAGAGGGAGAACUUUGAGUAUUUCUGCCUGGGUGCCCUAGGCUUGACAUUCUCUCAUUCAGCAGGGCCUCGGAGGGAGCAGACAGACACUGGAGAUCCAGGCAAGAGUAGCUAAAG
ensembl:lncRNA